rnacentral:tRNA from 1 species
UGCCGGGUCGUCUAAUGGUAGGACAGCGGCCUUUGGAGCCGUAUGUAGAGGUUCGAAUCCUCUCCCGGCAGCAA